CCUUACUUUCCAUGAGCAUCAAAGAACACGGAGCAGGCAGGACUCAGCCAGCAGAGCAUCCCUGCCUGUGCCGGGAGCCUUGGACCAGCCGGGGCAGGCUGGUGGGACCUGGACGGCCACGGGAUGGCGUCUCGUGGCUUGCAAAGCACAGCACGGUGUUCGGAGAGCAGCGGUGAUGCUGCCUGAAGGGCUCGGAGCUGCACUGACCCUGCAGCUUCUGCUGCUAGAAGCUUCUCAUGUUUUCUUCCUUUUUACUUGCAAGAUGCAUGCAGGAAGCAUCUUCCUGUUAUUUCUCUGAGUGGGCACACACUGACCCAGACCCUGGAGAACGUACAGUGGCUUCAGCUCUGAAACCUGCAGCCCACAGGGAAUGUCUGCCUGCACGGAGAGCACCCAGCCAUGGAGCCCUGCCCUGGUGCCCUGUCCAGCUAACUUCAUGUGGCAGCCACUGGAAGUGAGUGCUCUGAGGAACUGGCCCAGAGGAAGCGACUCUGCACUCAUGGCUCAUCAGCCCUGGCAGGAAACAGCAGGUCAAAGAAGGAACUUACUUAAAAGCUAAUGAGUGAGUGGUGCAGCAAGCACUGCGAGAAAGCAAGGCUUGACAGUCAGCAGGGGAGCUUGGGGUUCUCUGUCUCUGUCCUUUUUCCACUUCCUCUCUCCUUGAUCACUUCUGUUUAACCAGAGAGGUGCCAAGGUGAUCUGUCAGAGGAGAGUUUGUAGAUGAGACUGUGCCCUCUCCUGUUCUGAGCACAGCUCCCUCUGGAAAAUGGGGCUGGUGCAGAAAACACACUAUUUAAUGUUCCUCAGUAUGUUUUUAUGAAAUAAAAUUAGAUCCUCAUGACUCUAUAUCUCAGCUUGGCAGAUGUUGUCUUUUUUCAGAUGUGUAAGGUCAGUAGUCGCAAAUGUAGCAGUCUAGAACUGCAGGGUUUGAGCCAUUCUGUGCAGAAAUUGGUACAAUUCAGUGGCAGAAACAGGAAUAUAUAUUGCUUCUGCCAGAUGAUAGCAGUGUUUUUUCCCUAGGUAGGCUUUGGGAAGCCCUCCUUGGUGCACUUUCCAAAGGGCACAAGGUCACAUCACAGGCAGACUUACAUUUUGGAGUGUAUUUGUCUCUGUGCCAUGAGUUGGGCCGGGUUUUUUUUACUCCUCCUUUAGUAUUGGAAUUGAAAAUUCAAGUUGGAGAAAUGUGAAAGCAAUUGGGCCUAAUCCAUUCCUGUUGUUACUCCUUUUGUUUUCACUGGAGUUACUCCAAGGCUGAAUUCAGCAUAUGAUGAACAACUUGUUCUCCAAAGCUGGAACUUAGGGGAGAAGGUUUUAGGGAUGAUCACGCAACUCUGGGGCUCCUUCUCAAACAGCUGAAGCUCCCACAAGAGGGACAAUAUUUGGUGAGUUCAGAUUAUUGAAUUUAUUAUAGUGUUCUAGUAAUAAG
rnacentral:lncRNA from 1 species